UACGUAGGUGGCAAGCGUUGUCCGGAUUUACUGGGCGUAAAGGGCGUGCAGGCGGUUUGUUAAGUCUAGGGUGAAAGCUCCCGGCUCAACUGGGAGAGGUCCUUGGAUACUGGCAGACUUGAGGAGGGUAGAGGAGAGUGGAAUUCCCGGUGUAGUGGUGAAAUGCGUAGAUAUUGGGAGGAACACCGGUGGCGAAGGCGGCUACCUGGACCGGUACUGACGCUGAGGCGCGAAAGCUAGGGUAGCAAACAGG
rnacentral:rRNA from 1 species